GAUUUUGUCCCAUUCUUCUACACAAACAGUCUUCAAAUCUUGAAGGUUCUCUGGAUCUCUUCUAUGAACUCUGGUCUUUAGUUCUUUUCAUAGAUUUUAUAUUGGAUUCAAGUCA